CUGCCAGACUCCUACGGGAGGCAGCAGUGGGGAAUAUUGCACAAUGGGGGAAACCCUGAUGCAGCGACGCCGCGUGAGUGAAGAAGUAUUUCGGUCUGUAAAGCUCUAUCAGCAGGGAAGAAAAAAGACGGUACCUGACUAAGAAGCCCCGGCUAACUACGUGCCAGCAGCCGCGGUAAUACGUAGGGGGCAAGCGUUAUCCGGAUUUACUGGGUGUAAAGGGAGCGUAGACGGAGAAGCAAGUCUGAAGUGAAAGCCCGUGGCUUAACCACGGGACUGCUUUGGAAACUGUUUGGCUAGAGUGCUGGAGAGGUAAGUGGAAUUCCUAGUGUAGCGGUGAAAUGCGUAGAUAUUAGGAGGAACACCAGUGGCGAAGGCGGCUUACUGGACAGUAACUGACGUUGAGGCUCGAAAGCGUGGGGAGCAAACAGGAUUAGAUACCCCCGUA
rnacentral:rRNA from 1 species